CCCCAAAAUGGUGGAUUUUGGCCUGCGUGAGAAAGGCUAAUUUAAUGAUGCCACAACCAGCAAUCGUCCACAAAAUAUAUUGAGACUUUUUAAAUCAAUCCCCUCGCCCCUUAUUUCAAUGUUGAAACCUACUGUACUUGUCCAAAACGAACAUAAGGUGACACUAGCACCGCAACUGUGUCACUGGCAGUUGAAAUUUAACAUAUGAUGUUGGAAUUAAACUAUAUUGUAGUGCCUAACAACAUUGAAAUCGGGGGAGGGGGUUUGUCUCAAAUAUUUUGUGGGCGAUUGAGGGUAGACGUUUUAAACUAAGAAAUAUAUCAGUGGAAUUCUUAUACAUAGCUUGAGCUAUUAAUUAAAUUAGACGGUAUUAUAGCAAUUACAUAGCAUUAAAAUGACCCGAGAAUUGCUCAACUGAUACAAAGUGAUGUUACCCCGGUUGUGACGUCACGCAUAUCCGACGAUGGGUACGCAUAUCCAAGAUGGCGGAAUGCAUGUUAAGUAUUUUGUUUGAAAUGAAAUGAAAUGAAGUGCAAUAUCUUUUAUACCAAAAACGAUAAAAAAAUCUGUGACAAGAUUUUGAAAUGUGUUGAAUCAGUCUUUCAAACGGAGGAAAGGUAUUGCCAUUUCCCUUUACGUUUGUUUAUUUCUGUCCAGUUGUGAUCAAAAUUUGAACUUGCUUGAAGCUAAUGAGAGUUGAUGAUAGUUCACGCUAAAACAAGAGCGAGUAGCAGAUCUGGUGAACUUUAAGCCUAUCCAUGCAGUAGACUGCAGAACAUUAAAAAUUGUGAAAUGUAACUAAUUUUACAACUUUUAAAAUUCAUUAUCUACUUAAUAUGAACACGUUGUUUGAAAUAAAAUUUAU